rnacentral:lncRNA from 1 species
GGGAAGACAACAAAAGGAAGAGCUACAUAAGAAAGGUAUAGAGUUCCAGUUCUAUGGAGUCCAAUACUGUUGCUAUCAUAGGCUUCCCGCUCCGCACCAAGCAUAAGCAGCUCCAAAAAGGUUCCAUUCUAGACGGGGCUCAGCAUCAUUCUGUAAGGUAUUUCUCCAUCAGUGAUGCAUCCUGUAGUUUAAAAUAAACUCAGGUGAAUCUACGACAAUAUUAAAACUGCCUCAUUAUUUCAUAUCCAAGGCAGAAGAACUGGCAGGCUCAAACUAUAUUCUCUAUAGUUAUAAUAUAGGUUAUCAAACAGCGAGAAAUAGGCAGGCUAACUAAUAACUUUGGGAACCAGACAUAAAAGACGAUUGCUGCAAAAAUACAGGCCAUAGGAUUAAUAAGAACUGGCAGGCUCAAACUAUAUUCUGUUUAGUAGCCCAGCUCCCUUUCCAGCAGCAGAGUUUCUUAACUGCAAGUUUUGUUCUAGUCAGAAAUGAAUAUUUGUUUUGUCUGUACAAACUGAAGGGAUGCAUAUAUAGAUGGACAGCAUAAAAAGCAGCACCACUUGUUCCUGGUCACUCGAGCCUGGACAUCCUUAUCAUCCUUUUCUUCAACAGGAGGCGAAGAAGCAUCAGCUUGACCACCAGAGCUCGCCUGGUGCGUGAAAGAAAACCAGUGAAGAGGGAGACAUGUGUAAAUAUGUGGGCAUAUAGCAUAGCCGACAGGGCACGACGAUUUGGUACAAAAGGAAACACAAACAUGAGUGCAAUUAAGUAGUUAUAAGCAUAUUAUAGUUGUCUGUUUCAGAAGACAUAC